AACGCGAAGAACCUUACCUGGGCUCGAAAUGCAGGAGACCGGGGUAGAAAUAUCCUUUCCUCGCAAGAGGCUGCUGUAUAGGUGCUGCAUGGCUGUCGUCAGCUCGUGUCGUGAGAUGUUGGGUUAAGUCCCGCAACGAGCGCAACCCUCAUCCCUAGUUGCCACCGGGUAAUGCCGAGCACUCUAGUGAAACCGCCCCGGAUAACGGGGAGGAAGGUGGGGAUGACGUCAAGUCCUCAUGGCCUUUAUGUCCAGGGCUACACACGUGCUACAAUGGUCGGUACAAACCGUCGCAAAGCCGCAAGGUGGAGCUAAUCGGAAAAAGCCGGCCUCAGUUCGGAUUGGAGUCUGCAACUCGACUCCAUGAAGCUGGAAUCGCUAGUAAUCGCAGAUCAGAACGCUGCGGUGAAUACGUUCCCGGGCCUUGUACACACCGGACACGC
rnacentral:rRNA from 1 species